rnacentral:rRNA from 1 species
UACGUAGGGGGCAAGCGUUGUCCGGAAUUAUUGGGCGUAAAGAGCGUGUAGGCGGUCCGGUAAGUCCGCUGUGAAAGUCCAGGGCUCAACCCUGGAAUGCCGGUGGAUACUGCCGGGCUAGAGUCCGGAAGAGGCGAGUGGAAUUCCUGGUGUAGCGGUGAAAUGCGCAGAUAUCAGGAGGAACACCGGUGGCGAAGGCGGGUCUCUGGGCCGAUACUGACGCUGAGGAGCGAAAGCGUGGGGAGCGAACAGG